rnacentral:rRNA from 1 species
GCUUAUAGUCACCAACCACUACUGGGUAACGUAAUAUUACUAUAAAAAAUUUUAUGUUAAAACUAGUAACANGAAGAAGACCCUUCUCUUAAAUGCAAGCGUAAAUCAGAAAGGACAAACCACUGAUACUUACCAUUUUUGAGCCUGAAAUAGAAACUCAUCAAGAAAACCCUACUUAUAUCUAUGCUAACCUUACACUAGAGCAUUCUAAGAAAGAUUAAAAGAAAAAGAAGGAACUCGGCAAAUAUUAACCUCGCCUGUUUACCAAAAACAUCUCCUCUUGACUAGAUAUAUGAGGUCCAGUCUGUCCAGUGACCAUGGACAACGGCCGCGGUAUCCUAACCGUGCGAAGGUAGCGUAAUCACUUGUUCUUUAAAUGAGGACUAGUAUGAAUGGCAUCACGAAGGUUAUACUGUCUCCUUUUUCCAAUCAGUGAACCUAAUCUCCCCGUGAAGAAGCGGGGAUAAAAUUAUAAGACGAGAAGACCCUAUGGAGCUUAAAACAAUACAGCACUUGCUAAAAAAUUUAACAAUUUCAGAAUUUUUUAAUCUCUAAGCACUAUGACUGUAAGUUUUUGGUUGGGGUGACCACGGAGCAUAACACAACCUCCAUGUUGAAUGAACUUUUUUCUAAGCCAAAAAUUACACUUUUAAGCAUCAAUAAAUUGACAUCUAUUGACCCAAUAUGUUUGAACAACGAACCAAGUUACCCUAGGGAUAACAGCGCAAUCCAUUUCAAGAGCUCCUAUCGACAAGUGGGUUUACGACCUCGAUGUUGGAUCAGGGUUUCCCAGUGGUGCAGCCGC